UACCUCCCCCAUACCCCACGCAGGGAUCGGGUUCUGUUGUUGUUGUUGUUGUUGAUAGAACUUCACUACAAUCUGCCACGCAUAACAAGCUAGAUGCCUUAGGUUUCACCUUGAAGCCUAACCAGUCAGUAAAUUUAACAUGGUACAUGUUUUUGGAAGCAGUUACAAAUUUGGCUGGUUGGGCAAUGUCAAUUGUUAAUUUCAUGUGUGACUCGAAAUAAGUAGGUCUGCUCAGGCUCACCUGAAAAUCUCAUGUCCUAAAUAUCUAACUUUUCUGUGAGUAGUGUUUGAGUAAAAAGGACAUUUUUUUUAAUGAAUGAAUUUACAUUUUAAACUAAUUCCUUAAAGCUACCCUUUCACCACUGAGAGAUUCAUGACUUUAAAUGACCCAAUAAUAGAUAAACAGGUCAAAUUUUCAAACCAUAACAGAAACUAUUUAUAGCUCACGAUGUAGUUGCCUUGUGUGUAUGAAAGUAUGAAACUGCAUUACAUCCUGUACAUUUUGUUAUGUAGAUGGUCGUUUGGUGGUUCGACCUGAUGUCUUUGGCACUUUGCCCAACCCAUCGAUGACAAAUAUGUUGAUGGAAUUAACUUAUUUUUUUGCUAUUAGUUAAGUUGUGCAUAUUUUUAAAAUGAUACAGGUCCUAUUUUUUCCUUUAACACCAAUGUAAACUUUGUCUUUCUUGACCUUCAUCAGUUGUAUUACAACACAAAAUCAUUUGCUUUGUAAUUAUUAUGGUUAAGAUUAGUGCUUUUGGAUGUUACAGCUCAUUUGGAAGUGUAUAUAAUCCACAGGCCGUGCUGGAAACUAAUUAAAGUGCAUUUCAGUUUAGCAUCCAUCAUAUAGCAUAAAAGGUGGAACACUUUUUCAGCAGCCAAGUAACUCAUUCAUUGACUAGGAAGCCAAACGGAUGGAAAAUGUCACACAGGAGCAAGCCCUUAAUACCUGAAGACCGUCUUAUGGAAGUCGAACAACACAACAAUGACUACAAAGUUCUCUUUCCCCUUCGACUUGCAUCGCUUCAAAUGUCUCCCAAUUGUUGUUCGUCGCAGUGGUAUCAAAUCUGUGAACGACUGACAUUGUGCAGCAUGAAGAGUUAUCCCCGGAUAUUCGAUAACCAGCCAAGAAAUACAAAUACUUACCAACCGGCGCCAUGGUCAGACAUAUUCGUCGGAGUGACUCUGAAUUCCUUCCUUCAGUCCCAUUUCCAUUUGACGACGGGCAUGUAAACAGCGAUAAAUUGGUCUUUUUCGACCCUUCAAGAGGGAACCAUAAAUGGGGAAUAUCUAACUUCCACAUUCCACUGACGUGGUCCCACUUCCCUUUUUCCACGUCAUACACCUCAGCCGAACAACGGUCCAUAAAGGGCAGUUGGUUUCCACUGUAGGUGAAUCCUCCAAUGACGUGGAAUUUCCCUUGAUAAGUCACCCCUACACAUUUAUAUCUAACUGUACUCAUAAGUGGCAAAUGUGUCCACUUAUUUAGUACAACAUCAUAAACCUCGGCACUUGCCAUGCCCAUAACACCUUCCAACGUAGACAAACCGCCGGCUACGUAGAUCUUAUUGUCACAAACCGAACAUGCGAAAUCAUAUCUCGGUCUGUUAAGUGGUUCACAAGUGAACCAUUCUUUAGUAAUCACAUCAUAACGUAAGACUUGUGAUUGUACACCAACACCAUGGUCCAUAAGCUUAACACUCUCUCCAUUAACCUUCCUUUUUUCGUAUACGCUACCACCAAUUAUAUAAAUCAACGUACCAACCGACACCAUUGAAAACCCUUUCAAAAUUUGGUUCUUGCCCAUCCCUGGGACGAGACACUCGUGACUCCAUAUGUUUGUUGAUGGAUCAUAACACCCCAUGACACAUGACACAUUCAUGUCAUCAAAAUGUUCUUUGUACAAAAAUACAGCGUAGAUGCCAUAACGAGGUUCAGAUCUUUCAGGCGGUAUUUGGACCGAAGCAAGUGGUGAUCGAGGAAAGUUUUCUGUUGCGGGGGAGUUGGAUGAUGAUGGGGAAGUAAGAGACUCCAUUGAAGCAACUAGUGAAGCUCAAUUAGUUAGUUAUUGAUGCUAAGGUCUCUAUUUUGGUUGUCAAAGUUGCAAUUUAUUGGGAAGUUUGUGAAUGUUUGACUGAGUUCUCAAUGAAAAAUUGUCUUGUUUUGAUCGAUCGA